GAGCGAAAGCGUGGGGAGCGAACAGGCUUAGAUACCCUGGUAGUCCACGCUGUAAACGGUGGGUACUAGGUGUGGGGUCCAUUCCACGGGUUCCGCGCCGUAGCUAACGCUUUAAGUACCCCGCCUGGGGAGUACGGCCGCAAGGCUAAAACUCAAAGGAAUUGACGGGGCCCCGCACAAGCGGCGGAGCAUGCGGAUUAAUUCGAUGCAACGCGUAGAACCUUACCUGGGUUUGACAUGGAUCGGGAGUGCUCAGAGAUGGGUGUGCCUCUUUUGGGGUCGGUUCACAGGUGGUGCAUGGCUGUCGUCAGCUCGUGUCGUGAGAUGUUGGGUUAAGUCCCGCAACGAGCGCAACCCUUGUUCACUGUUGCCAGCACGUUAUGGUGGGGACUCAGUGGAGACCGCCGGGGUCAACUCGGAGGAAGGUGGGGAUGACGUCAAGUCAUCAUGCCCCUUAUGUCCAGGGCUUCACGCAUGCUACAAUGGCUGGUACAGGGAGUGGCGAGCCUGUGAGGGUGAGCGAAUCUCGGAAAGUCGGUCUCAGUUCGGAUUGGGGUCUGCAACUCGACCUCAUGAAGUCGGAGUCGCUAGUAAUCGCAGAUCAGCAACGCUGCGGUGAAUACGUUCCCGGGCCUUGUACACUCCGCCC
rnacentral:rRNA from 1 species